GACGUAGGAUGCGAGCGUUGUCCGGAUUUAUUGGGCGUAAAGAGUUCGUAGGCGGUUUGUUAAGUCUGGUGUUAAAGACCGAGGCCCAACCUCGGAAAUGCACUGGAUACUGGCAGACUGGAGUGCAGUAGAGGCGAGUGGAAUUCCCAGUGUAGCGGUGAAAUGCGUAGAUAUCGGAAGGAACACCAGUGGCGAAAGCGGCUUCCUGGUCCAGCACCGACGUUCAGGCACGAAAGCGUGGGGAGCAAACAGG
rnacentral:rRNA from 1 species